rnacentral:rRNA from 1 species
ACGUGGAUAAUCUGCCCUCAGAUGAAGAAUAAUCCCGGGAAACUGGGGCUAAUGCUUCAUAGGAGACGGGUGCUGGAAUGCUCUGUCUCUGAAAGGUCCGCCGUCUGAGGAUGAGUCUGCGUCCGAUUAGGUUGUUGUUGGGGUAACGGCCCACCAAGCCUUUGAUCGGUACGGGUUGUGGGAGCAAGAGCCCGGAGAUGGAUUCUGAGACAUGAAUCCAGGCCCUACGGGGCGCAGCAGGCGCGAAAACUUUACAAUGCGAGCAAUCGUGAUAAGGAAACCCUGAGUGCCUGUUAUUGCAGGCUGUUCUGGUGUCUAACACACACCAGGAGAAAGGGCGGGGCAAGACCGGUGCCAGCCGCCGCGGUAAUACCGGCUGCUCGAGUGAUAGCCACUUUUACUGGGCUUAAAGCGUUCGUAGCUUGGUCGUUAAGUCUCUGGGGAAAUCUUUUGGCUCAACCAAAAGGCGUCUCAGGGAAACUGGCGACCUAGGAACCGGGAGAGGUAAGACGUACUUCGGGGGUAGGAGUGAAAUCUUGUAAUCCCCGAGGGACGACCGAUGGCGAAGGCAUCUUACCAGAACGGCUUCG